rnacentral:rRNA from 1 species
CGGUAAUUCCAGCUCCAAUAGCGUAUACUAAAGUUGUUGCAGUUAAAAAGCUCGUAGUUGGAUUUCUGUGGGGACGGAGCGGCCGGCCGCAACUUGCGGUUCGAGCUAGCGCUUUCCCUACAUCCUGCCGCGAACCGUGCUACCAUUAGUUUGGUGGCGCCGGGGAUCGGCUCGUUUACUUUGAGAAAAAUAGAGUGUUCAAAGCAGGCCACACGCCUUGAAUAAGUUAGCAUGGAAUAAUAAUAAAGGACUUCGGUUCUAUUUUGUUGGUGUUCGGGACUGAAGUAAUGAUUGAUAGGGACAGUUGGGGCGGUCAGUAUUCCAAAGCGAGAGGUGAAAUUCUUAGACCUUCGGAAGACUAACAGCUGCGAAAGCGUUCCGCAAGGAUGUUCCCUUUGAUCAAGAACGAAAGUUGGGGGAUCGAAGACGAUCAGAUACCGUCGUAGUCUCAACUAUAAACUAUACCAGCUAGGGAUCGGCCAACGUUAAAUUAUUCGACUUGGUCGGCACCUUAUGAGAAAUCAAAGCAUCUGGGUUCCGGGGGGAGUAUGGUCGCAAGGCUGAAACUUAAAGGAAUUGACGGAAGGGCACCACCAGCCGUGGAGCCUGUGGCUUAAUUUGACUCAACACGGGAAAACUUACCAGGUCCAGACAUAGUAAGGAUUGACAGAUUGAUAGCUCUUUCUUGAUUCUGUGGGUGGUGGUGCAUGGCCGUUCUUAGUUGGUGGAGUGAUUUGUCUGGUUAAUUCCGUUAACGAACGAGACCCCAGCCUGCUAAAUAGCGCGGUUGAGCUUUGCUCGGCGCGAGCUUCUUAGAGGGACUAUGAUGCGCGAUAGCACAUGGAAGUUUGGGGCAAUAACAGGUCUGUGAUGCCCUUAGAUGUUCUGGGCCGCACACGGGCUACACUGGCGCCUGCAACGAGCAUAUCAGCUGGCCCGAGAGGGUCUUGGCUAAUCUUUUGAACCGGCGCCGUGCUUGGGAUUGACCAUUGCAAUUGUUGGUCAUGCAACGAGGAAUGCCUUGUAAACGCGAGUCAUCAACUCGCAUUGAAUACGUCCCUGCCCCUUGUACACACCGCCC